CGUUCAGCAACAUCCAAGGCCAGCUGGACAGCAUUUACCUCUGCAAACUGUCAUGAUUCUCCUUUACCUUCAGUGGCCUAUGCAACUAUUUGUGCAGGGCUCCACACAGCAGCUUUCCAUCUGUGAUGCUUUCCCAGAAUACAACAUGAUUUAUCAGUGAAAAGAGCAGAUUUUAUUUUCUGGUAGUUCACAAUAUGGUGGGACCUCUUUAGCACGUGAUACUUCUUCUGCUGGUGAUGUUCUAAACCUUUUGCCUUCAGGCCAGUCCAUGAUCACCUCUAGCAUCCCUGGAUGGCUGAGGUUCCCCAUCCAAGCUCACUGUGUAAUCAGCACAAUCCACUUACUCCAAGAGGCAUCAUUGGCAUGAUGCGUGGAGGGAAUCUUUCCUUUAAACAAAGGGGGAAAAUGUUCCCUUUGGUUAAAAAAAAAAAAGUAUAAAUCAAUCAAAGACAGACCUACUGAGAAUGGGAAGGGACCCCACUGGAAGAGCAAACAUUGGGGAAGGGCAUGCAGCAGCAGGACGGCCAUCAUUGCCUUGUUUCAUGGGCUCUCCAAAGCGGGAGCACGGCACAGGGCCUGGGAUUCAGUCCGUCCUGGUGAGAGGCACAGGCUUUGCGUGGCCCUGCACAGGGCCGGGUCUUAGUGCUGGGGUGGGCUGGAUAUGACCCUGCUGGGCUAAGCUGACUGAGCUGUGCCACACCCCGCUGUUCUUGCAUCACAAACGUUGCCAUAGACCCCAGCUGGUGACAUGGCAAUCCACAUCACAAAGGGGACAACCCAACAUUUGGGCGGAGUGAGGCUGGGCACCACUUUGCCCAUGAGGUGACUGAAGAGAGGAGCUCGAUUGCUUGGCUCUCUGCAUGUCACAGGCAUGGAUACUUUCUGGGGAAUCUGCUUCUUCCUCAGACUGGAGGAUGUUAUCCUCUAUUGUAUGCUCUGGAUCACGCUGAUCCUAUCGUUGCUUGUAUUCAUUUUGACUUUGUGGAAGUGGAAGGGUGGGAGGCCAAGGUGGUACUGCUGCAGAGACAACGUGGAGAAUAACAGAGGUGAGAAGCAUGGGCAAGGAGAGGUGCCCUGCAAAGACACCCCCUGGGGACCCACAUGCCCGUGGCUCCAUCAGGGAGGGUCUCUCCAUCCGUUCACUCUCUGUCUUCUACCAACAGCUGCGGACCUCCACAAUGCUCUACAGUACUCAAGGACACACUCUUCCACAAUACCAGAUAUGGCAGAUAUACGUGCAGCAUUCCGUCAAAUGCAGAGAAGACUUAAGAUACUACACAGACGCUUGCAAAUUGCAAUCAUGGAGAUGUCAGAAGACGCCAAUGACUCCUCUUGCAGUGACAGCUCUCUCACUUCCAUGAAGGCAGCAGAAAACUCCAGCUCUUCGAGGGAGUCUCUUGAUGUGAGGGGGAACAAGUCCCUCACCUCCAAUAUGGCAGUGGGAGCCCGCAGCUCCUCAGAGGUCUCCCUGUCCUCAAGGAGUGAUGAGUCCCUCACGCCUGUCGAGACAAUGGGAGCUGUGUGCUCUUCAAGGGCCUCUCCAUCCUGGAACGACAGCUCCCUUGCUGACGAUGCAGCAACAGAAGCUGGCUGCUCUUCGAGAGCCCUUCUGGCCCUUCCCAGGGAAGGCUACUGUACUUCUGUCAGUGCGCAUGAAGGCAGCUGCAUGGAACAGCUAACCCUGAGCACUCCUCCUUUGCUUGGAGCAGCUUCGGGUCAUGCUGCCACGGUCCAGCCGGACCUCAUGCUUUCGGAUGCACUUGAGCCCCAAGAAGCGCAGGAAAGCUCAGCCCCUCAGAUGGAGGUGGUGCCCAGAGUGUGGAAGCCGCUGCUCCUGGAUGAGGCUGUGAAAAGGCAGCUGGAGCAGCACCUGGUAAAACUGCAGAUACAGCGGUGCUUUGGGCUACCAGAGAAGGUUCUGGCCUCCUACAAGAAGUUCUCAGAGACCAAUCAGGAGCCACAAGACUGCCAUCCUUCUCCACACAGCAACAAUGUGGAGCCCUACCGCUCGCCCUUCCUGUGCUGGAACAGGCACGCUCGCACCAGGAAGAGAGCAGUGAAGCCCCCUGGCUCAAAGAAAAAGUCCAUAGCCCCUGUGAAAAAGUGCACAAGAGGAACACAGAUGCCUGCCUACUCUCUGUCAGCUUUCAUGAUAGUGGCAGAAGAGUAUCCUCAGGAAGAUCUGGUGAAAUCCCAGAUGAGCAGGAUACAUAGCAGAACAGUUAGAAGCAGCAGAAAAGCCAGAAAGAAGAUCUGUCCUGUCAGCUUCACAGAGGAGAAGGGCACUGUGACAGAAGAGGAUGAUCUUGGUCCCUCCUUUUCCAUCCUGAAAGAGCAGACAGUGCCACAGAUCGAGGGAGCUCCUCUGCAGAAGGCAGGACAGGACACUGAGAUCCCCACCGUGCCCAGCGGGGGCAACACAGGGGUCCAGGAGCUGUCACAAGGCAGGACUGCUCCUGCAGGAAAUAAUGCACCACAGAUAGAAGAGGCUUUGAGUAAGGACACUGCCACAGCUGUGCCACCACCUCAACACCAUGAAGGGACCAGCCUGGAAGAGACACUCAGAGCACUUACAGACUUCUACAGGGUCGGCACAAGGGCUGAAAACCAGGUGAACCAGCUGCUGGCUUCCUGGCUGGAGCAGUCCCAGGACGAUGCUGGGCACAGAAGUUCAGAGCCAGCAGCUGACUGUCCCAUUGCCACGCUGUGCAGAACACAGAAAGACACACAGAAUGGUAAGGGACUCAGGCAGGACAGAGUGAGGCCCAGAAGGCUCUGCCCCAAGUGCUGCGAAGCCCAAGGACGUGGUGUGCUUGGCAGAGAAGGCACCUGGACUUCAGCUCCACUUGCAAGUGCAGCAGCAGGCACAGGAGGGGACGAGGCAGUGGGCGAGAAACAUCCAUCUGGGGAAAGGGCCAAAAAUCAAGGCCAGAAUCAGACUGCUGAUGCUGUCCAGCAGCCAAUGAGGGCUCGUAUCUACAGAUACUUUGUAUCAAUCACUACAGUCCAGCAGAGAUGUCAGUUUCAGCCACGGACAGGCUCAGUUGACAGGCACACAUCUUUGCAAGCUGCUGCUAUGGUGAUCCCCUUCCUCCUUUGCAGGCAAAGCCCUAUGUUCCAAAAUCAGGAAGAAGGGAAGUGA
ensembl:lncRNA